rnacentral:snRNA from 1 species
GCUUUUGCGCAGUGGCAGUAUCAUAGCCAAUGAGGUUUAUUUGAGGCGCGAUUAUUGCUAAUUGAAAAAAGUAUUCCCCCAGAUUUUUAGGAAUAGAUUUUGUGAAUUUUUAGUAAAUGAUUCUUAAG